ensembl:lncRNA
GUGUGGAGGUAUUCGAGGACUAUUGUGGGGUUUCGGCUAUCUGGCUGUGCAACAGUUAUAUCAGCGAUCGAGUGGAGAUAUUCAGGACAGAAAGAGUGUGAGUUCUGGAAAGCAAGUGGAGACCAGGCCGCGCCAUCACUAUCGGAGGGAAGUUAAGAGACCUGAUCUGGGACUUCGAUCAAUUGUAUACAUCUGGACUGGGAGUGAUAACGUUGUGAAGUGGACGGAGCCAUCGUUGGAUCGCAGGAUCCUCUGGGCUGAACGCCGCAUGUGAUGUCCCUAUGAAAGGAGGUGGACACGAGAAUUAUUCCUUUUCCCGGUCUCGACCGAAACAUCCACGAGCUCUACUUACCCGGAUAUCCCCCCCUCAUUCCGGGACGGGUGACAGACUAUCCUGGCUCUUGCCGGCCCCGUACAGGCACGAACUGCCGACGACUCCACGCCUCCCCGGCGUCCGAGGUCUGGCUUCGUUCUGGUCGGGAGACACGGAAGGAACACUGAACUUUUAAAUUGCUUUUAACCAAAUAAAACCUUGUUCAAUUUU